UGGGACGUUGGCAAGUGGUAAGCCACCGGUUUUUGGUAUCGGCAUGCGCAGGUUCGAAUCCUGCCGUCCCAG
rnacentral:tRNA from 1 species